AUUGAACGCUGGCGGCACGCCUUACACAUGCAAGUCGAACGGUAACAGGUCUUCGGAUGCUGACGAGUGGCGAACGGGUGAGUAAUACAUCGGAACGUGCCCGAUCGUGGGGGAUAACGAAGCGAAAGCUUUGCUAAUACCGCAUAAGAUCUACGGAUAAAAGCAGGGGACCGCAAGGCCUUGCGCGAACGGAGCGGCCGAUGGCAGAUUAGGUAGGUGGUGGGAUAAAAGCUUACCAAGCCGACGAUCUGUAGCUGGUCUGAGAGGACGACCAGCCACACUGGGACUGAGACACGGCCCAGACUCCUACGGGAGGCAGCAGUGGGGAAUUUUGGACAAUGGGCGCAAGCCUGAUCCAGCCAUGCCGCGUGCAGGAUGAAGGCCUUCGGGUUGUAAACUGCUUUUGUACGGAACGAAAAGACUCUGGUUAAUACCUGGGGUCCAUGACGGUACCGUAAGAAUAAGCACCGGCUAACUACGUGCCAGCCGCCGCGGUAACAC
rnacentral:rRNA from 1 species